UGCCAACCGAUUGGAAUCAUUUGUACCACGGUGAAUUGGUUAAAACAAUGCGACAUAUCCGUCUGGCUUCUGGGCUGUACUUAUCGGUGUGUUAUUUGGCUAUUAUUGCAGUAGCCAUUACAACGGUUUCGAAUCGCCAGCUGAUGUUCUUUUGUUACUUUCCGUUUGAAACGCGAUAUGAAUACAGCUUACAGGGCUAUUGGAUAGCGUUCUCGUACCAACUAAUCUACGCCAUGUACCUUGUUCAAACAAGCGUCCAUCUGGACAUCGUUAUCGCUGCGUUGUUACACUGUGGUGCUAUUAAAUUGCAAAUUUUGAGACUUGAAUGUGAAAAGCUAUGUUCAUUUUACAAAUGCAUCGAUAACUUCAAAGCUAUUAAAACUGCAGUGGUUUUUCACACAGAUACGGUCAGGUAUAAGUAACAGAUCAUUGAUAUGGUUUAGUAUUUUAUUUCCUACCCCAUACGAAAGUUGACCAUUACAUAGAAGUUUGCCCCCUGCGAAAAUGUGCCAUUAUAUGAAGGAAUAUUUUCGAUUCAUAUUAUGUGAAUUACUUUGUGAUA